rnacentral:rRNA from 1 species
CCUACGGGAGGCAGCAGUGGGGAAUAUUGGGCAAUGGGCGCAAGCCUGACCCAGCAACGCCGCGUGAAGGAAGAAGGCUUUCGGGUUGUAAACUUCUUUUCUCAGGGACGAAGCAAGUGACGGUACCUGAGGAAUAAGCCACGGCUAACUACGUGCCAGCAGCCGCGGUAAUACGUAGGUGGCAAGCGUUAUCCGGAUUUACUGGGUGUAAAGGGCGUGUAGGCGGGAAUGCAAGUCAGAUGUGAAAACCAUGGGCUCAACCUAUGGCCUGCAUUUGAAACUGUAGUUCUUGAGUGCUGGAGAGGCAGACGGAAUUCCGAGUGUAGCGGUGAAAUGCGUAGAUAUUAGGAGGAACACCAGUGGCGAAGGCGGAUUGCUGGACAGCAACUGACGCUGAGGCGCGAAAGCGUGGGGAGCAAACAGGAUUAGAUACCCCAGUAGUC